rnacentral:lncRNA from 1 species
GGCGCACUGUGAAGCCGUGUUCGGACUCCGAAAUGAGUAAGGACCCCUCACCCUAUUUCCUAUCACGGUAUUAAAGUUCAAUAAUGAUAAAACGGUAUUUCUUGAAUCAACGAAUAUGUGAAAUUGCUUAAGGUCGCUAAUGAAGCCCGAGUCUAGUGUGUUUAUCAGUAAACUGUUAUUUGGCCUAUUUUACAGUUUUAAAUGCAGUAUGAGGUUUGAUGUU